AUUGAACGCUGGCGGCAGGCCUAACACAUGCAAGUCGAACGGUAGCACAGAGAGCUUGCUCUCGGGUGACGAGUGGCGGACGGGUGAGUAACGUCUGGGAAACUGCCCGAUGGAGGGGGAUAACUACUGGAAACGGUAGCUAAUACCGCAUAACGUCGCAAGACCAAAGUGGGGGACCUUCGGGCCUCACACCAUCGGAUGUGCCCAGAUGGGAUUAGCUAGUAGGUGGGGUAAUGGCUCACCUAGGCGACGAUCCCUAGCUGGUCUGAGAGGGUGACCAGCCACACUGGAACUGAGACACGGUCCAGACUCCUACGGGAGGCAGCAGUGGGGAAUAUUGCACAAUGGGCGCAAGCCUGAUGCAGCCAUGCCGCGUGUAUGAAGAAGGCCUUCGGGUUGUAAAGUACUUUCAGCGGGGAGGAAGGCGGUGAAGUUAAUAGCUUAACCGAUUGACGUUACCCGCAGAAGAAGCACCGGCUAACUCCGUGCCAGCAGCCGCCGUAA
rnacentral:rRNA from 1 species